rnacentral:misc_RNA from 1 species
GUUAAGUAUUCGCAACGCAAACCUGACAGGUUUUUAAAACCUGUCAGGUUUAAGUACACAAAGAAUAUCC